ACAGAACAAACAGGCCGACUAAAGGGAGAAAAGAAGCCACAUCAGGUAUGUGAUCAGAUGGUGGUUGGCAUUCCAGGCAUCCCCGAUCCUCUGGCUGAGCAGCAGAGCAACACGGGGGCUGCAGGGAUUUUGGAUAAAAGAGUUUAUUAGUUGAGUUCACUGGCUUGUCGCCCCAAAGCUUGGAACUAUGCUUCAAACUUAGCCAAGGCCCUUCCUUUGAGAGCGUGCCAGCUACGGAAGACAGUCAAGCAGGUGCAAACUGUUUGUUCCAGUCAGCCUUCCUGCAGAAAGCUGGAGAACAAGCCCUCUAGGCCAGCAAGUGACAUUCCCAACAGCAGAAAGCACCAAGAAAAUGAUCAUUUUCAUACUCUGAGUACAAUUCCACAACCCAUUUUCUGCAGUCCUCAAGUCUGAAAAGCUCUGAAAAACAAAAGUUUUUAUUUUGUUUAUAAGUCUGCAGCAAGUUCAUGUGGUGGUGAAAUCGGACAUGAACUGUCUUGGAGCUAUUUAUAAUCUUUAUCUUAUUUAGCAGGAAUAUUUACAGAUUGUGCUGUGAAAAAUUAAUGUUCAAUUAUAAGGUAUACCCUGCUAGUGUGUGUGUAUAUCUGAAAUAUUCUAAAUCUCAAAGCACAUAUAACCCCAGGGGUUGUAGAUAAGAAAUUAUAUACCCAUAGUGUAAAAACACCAUAAAAGUCUCUACUUAAUGAAAAGGUUGACCUCAUCUUCACAUUCAUGAAUUUCUAUUUCUCUCUCUUGCUGAACUGGAACUUGGUUCUUGGCCUAAGAGUUACUUGAUCAUCAUGGAACCAGUCUUAGACUAGAAGUUGGGACACCUGAAUGAAAUUGUUUAACCUCUCUGCGCCUCUUUCCUCCUCUGUGAAAUGGGGAUGAAAACGCAGUCCUCGUUGUUUCCAGAGCAGGUCUGGGACUCAAAUAGGAAAACCCGUUGAAAUGGGAAACCACCACGAAAGUAUCAGAUGUACUUAUCAAAGCCAAGCCACAUGACCGUUCAACUGGUGACCACCCGGUUGGCUUUAUAGAAUUAUUCCUGAUUUAAAAAAUACAUGCUCCAUUAGUUCACCUAAGCCCAAACCCUUCAUCAUCAGUUUGUGAGUCCUGAUGCCCUCUUACAUUUCAUCACACGGGAUGAGUGUUGGACGUCAUACCUGGGCAAACUUACGAUUACAUAUUUGCGUGAGUUUAAAAGCACAGG